rnacentral:rRNA from 1 species
AUUGAACGCUGGCGGCAUGCCUUACACAUGCAAGUCGAACGGCAGCAUGGAGAGCUUGCUCUCUGAUGGCGAGUGGCGAACGGGUGAGUAAUGCAUCGGAACGUACCGUGUAAUGGGGGAUAACGUAGCGAAAGUUACGCUAAUACCGCAUACGACCUGAGGGUGAAAGCAGGGGAUCGCAAGACCUUGCGUUAUACGAGCGGCCGAUGUCAGAUUAGCUAGUUGGUGAGGUAAAGGCUCACCAAGGCGACGAGCUGUAGCGGGUCUGAGAGGAUGAUCCGCCACACUGGGACUGAGACACGGCCCAGACUCCUACGGGAGGCAGCAGUGGGGAAUUUUGGACAAUGGGGGCAACCCUGAUCCAGCCAUGCCGCGUGAGUGAAGAAGGCCUUCGGGUUGUAAAGCUCUUUCGGCCGGGAAGAAAUCGCACAGGCUAAUACUCUGUGUGGAUGACGGUACCGGCAUGAGAAGCACCGGCUAACUACGUGCCAGCCGCCGCUGUAA